UGGCCUCAGAUCAGGGAGGAUCWCCCGCCGAAUUUAA
rnacentral:rRNA from 1 species